rnacentral:miRNA from 1 species
UGAUGGACAGCGGGGAAGUGCACU